UAGGGAAUCUUCCACAAUGGACGAAAGUCUGACCGAGCAACGCCGCGUGAGUGAAGAAGGGUUUCGGCUCGUAAAGCUCUGUUGUUAAAGAAGAACACGUAUGAGAGUAACUGUUCAUACGUUGACGGUAUUUAACCAGAAAGUCACGGCUAACUACGUGCCAG
rnacentral:rRNA from 1 species